rnacentral:rRNA from 1 species
CUUGACGAUCAUAGAGCGUUGGAACCACCUGAUCCCUUCCCGAACUCAGAAGUGAAACGACGCAUCGCCGAUGGUAGAUGAUUGUGUGUUGUAAGGU